rnacentral:misc_RNA from 1 species
UCCCAAUUCUUUGCCAGGACAAUGUCUAGUUCCACCUCCAAAGAUGAAGAAGUAAUUAUGGGACUCUAAGUUUUUGUCCAGCCAUCUCCAAGGGUUGAAGGUGAAUGGUUCAGAAUAGAGAAAAGGGUCAUAGUUUAUCUCUCUAGUAUACACAUAAAUCCUCCAUCCUUUUGGAAUGAGAAAGCCAUUUAGUUCCAUGUCCUUUGUAGUUUUCCUCAAAACCCCAUUAACAAUAGUGGCCAGCCUUGAUGUUUCAUUUAUCACCGCACGAGUGAACUUCAUUGCUUUAAGAUCAUCCCAAUCAAUGGGGUCCUCAGGAUUUUUCUUCUCUCUGAUUGCCAAAUGCUCUUCUCUGAGUUGCUGAAGAACUUUGGGAUGAUCAUGGAGAAACUUUACAGCCAUCAUAGAAGUUGUUGAAACAGUUUCAUAGCCAGAGUACAAUAGAGUGAUGAUUUGAUCAAUAAUCUCUUCAUCGUUUA